rnacentral:misc_RNA from 1 species
GGGAGAUGAAAAUGUUUACCUGCUUUGGUCUGGUAAAAACUUUGCACAUGUACUCUGACUAGAAUGUAAAAUAAAAUUAAACUCAGGUAAAACUUUCAACCAAUGCAUGGAAUGCCAAGUUCUAGUUUAAAGAAAAUCAUCUUUCAUUGAAAGUUGAGGACAUGCUCAAGAGAUGAGAUGCUGUAUAGAUGUUCCUUUUAUUGAAUAUUUUGUUCUAUUAUUUAGCAUUUUCCCAUGCAAUACAGAGAAAGGGAAAGGAAAAGAUGG